GACGUAGGGUCCGAGCGUUGUCCGGAGUUACUGGGCGUAAAGCGCGCGCAGGCGGUCAGUCGCAUCGGCGGGGAAAGCCCCCCGCUUAACGGGGGAGGGUCCGUCGAGAUGGGCUGACUGGAGGCAGGGAGAGGCCAGUGGAAUUCCGGGUGUAGUGGUGAAAUGCGUAGAGAUCCGGAGGAACACCAGUGGCGAAGGCGGCUGGCUGGACCUGACCUGACGCUGAGGCGCGAAGGCGUGGGGAGCGAACGGG
rnacentral:rRNA from 1 species